CACGUAGGGGGCGAGCGUUGUCCGGAAUUAUUGGGCGUAAAGAGCUCGUAGGCGGUGUGUCGCGUCGGCCGUGAAAACCUGCAGCUUAACUGUGGGCUUGCGGUCGAUACGGGCAUCACUGGAGUUCGGUAGGGGAGACUGGAAUUCCUGGUGUAGCGGUGAAAUGCGCAGAUAUCAGGAGGAACACCGGUGGCGAAGGCGGGUCUCUGGGCCGAUACUGACGCUGAGGAGCGAAAGCGUGGGGAGCGAACAGG
rnacentral:rRNA from 1 species